CAGCUAAUCCAGCUGACCGCCCUCCUCCCGUGGGGGCCGGUGUCCAAUGGCUGCAAACAGCAAGCCCCCUCGGAGUGUGUGCAGCCUGUCGCUUGGUCUAGGCUGCCCUACGGGACCUGGGAGACAGCC